UGGGGAAUAUUGCACAAUGGGCGCAAGCCUGAUGCAGCCAUGCCGCGUGUGUGAAGAAGGCCUUCGGGUUGUAAAGCACUUUCAGCGAGGAGGAAGGUGGUGAGCUUAAUACGCUCAUCAAUUGACGUUACUCGCAGAAGAAGCACCGGCUAGCUCCGUGCCAGCAGCCGCGGUAAUACGGAGGGUGCAAGCGUUAAUCGGAAUUACUGGGCGUAAAGCGCACGCAGGCGGUUUGUUAAGUCAGAUGUGAAAUCCCCGGGCUCAACCUGGGAACUGCAUUUGAAACUGGCAAGCUAGAGUCUCAUAGAGGGGGGUAGAAUUCCAGGUGUAGCGGUGAAAUGCGUAGAGAUCUGGAGGAAUACCGGUGGCGAAGGCGGCCCCCCUGGACGAAGACUGACGCUCAGGUGCGAAAGCGUGGGGCAGCAAACAGGAUUAGAUACCCUGGUAGUCCAGCGCUGUAAAACGAUGUCGAUUUGGAGGUUGUGCCCUUGAGGCGUGGCUUCCGGAGCUAACGCGUUAAAUCGACCGCCUGGGGGAGUACGGCCGCAAGGUU
rnacentral:rRNA from 1 species